UUUAACCAUUUUGCCACCCCUACUUCCAGGGGUAGGGGUAAGGCUGCGUACAUCUUACCCUCUCCAAACCCCACUCGUAGGAAACUACUGGGUUUGUUGUUGUAGAAUUUUAAAAAUAUGUCUAAAUUAUGAAAUUAUGUAGAGAAGGAGAAAAUAUUGAUUAAGAAGAGAAUCCAAGAAGAAGAUAAAAGGAAAGAACUGACAUAGAGAUUUCUAUAUAUAAGAUUUUUCAUUUUCUUAAAUUUCACCCUAGCUUUGUUUUUAUUUUAGAAAUCAUUGUAUCUAUCCGAAAUUUCUCAAUCGAUUUUGGUCAAAGUACCCAACAUCGGCUGACCAGAUCCGGUAGUGAUCACGCACCCACAUCAUAUCGACACGGGUGAGGCACCAAAAGUGAAGAGUACAAGCAACUUAGAUCACAACACAUACGAUGAAUCAGCAACAAGCAGCCCCCUUUCUCAACAUAAAUGAGCCUCAACAGGAGCAGCCAUUGAUACGAGAGGAGGAAGAAGAGGUAGUUCUCAUUGAGAGAAGUCUAGAUAUUCUGAACUUAAAAAGCUUAAGCACGACGUUCCUCAAACCAAACAGAAAAAAAUAAUGAUACCGACAAUGAACUUAGGCCAGCAGCACCAACCAAGCGGGGAGACUGUCAACACAGGUGAACUCCACCCUGAACCUUGAGAAAGACCGUGCAAGCACAUCAAGAAUCAUGAAUUUUAUAACAGAAUUGCAGGGAGCAGGUAAUCCCGACUUCAAUAAGAAAGUUUAGGCGAUGAUAGAUUCGAAAAUACCAACAGUGGUGGCACUGCUGCAGACCCGACUACAAGUGCACAAUUUUCUGAUGGUAUGCUUCAACUUUACCGAUAAUGCUGAGGUACAUUUGGAUCAAAUUAGAACAACCAGCCAAGAAGUCAUGCUAUGAUCAAGGGCUAGAGAUUAAACUGAGCCAAAAUUUUGAAACACACCUGAAUUGUAAGAGGGAUGUUACUGGCUACCUCAAGAGGAUUUCAGUGAUGAGUUCGGGUGGCAUAUUAAUAGGGAUUUUAAAGCUUGAAUCUUGCAUUGAAGUGGAGGAAGAAAAUUGAGAGAGUUUGCUCGGUUUUGAUUCCAUUAUUUCAGGACUUGCACGCCUUAUUAUUUUUUAGGUUUGUGUGUUUGAAAAUUUCUCAAAUUGUAUCUGCUGAAAUAUUAUUUACUCCAACAAGAACAAAGAUUACUUUAUUCCUGCCUUAUUUUAAUGUAUAGGAGUUAGGACACAAUUUUUCUCCCGGUCAUAUUUGUUU